rnacentral:rRNA from 1 species
CCUACGGGAGGCAGCAGUGGGGAAUAUUGGGCAAUGGAGGAAACUCUGACCCAGCAACGCCGCGUGAAUGAUGAAGGUCUUCGGAUUGUAAAGUUCUUUUCUAAGGGAAGAAGAAAGUGACGGUACCUUAGGAAUAAGCCUCGGCUAACUACGUGCCAGCAGCCGCGGUAAUACGGAGGAGGCAAGCGUUAUCCGGAAUGACUGGGCGUAAAGGGUGCGUAGGUGGUUUGACAAGUUGGUAGCGUAACUCCGAGGCUUAACCUCGGCACUACUACCAAAACUGUUGGACUCGAGUGCAGGAGGGGCAAAUGGAAUUCGUGGUGUAGCGGUGGAAUGCGUAGAUAUUAGGAGGAACACCAGUGGCGAAGGCGGCAUGCCGGCUCCACACUGACGCUGAGGCACGAAAGCGUGGGUAUCGAACAGGAUUAGAUACCCGAGUAGUC